AUUGAACGCUGGCGGCAGGCUUAACACAUGCAAGUCGAGCGAGCGGCGGACGGGUGAGUAAUGUCUGGGAAACUGCCUGAUGGAGGGGGAUAACUACUGGAAACGGUAGCUAAUACCGCAUACCAUCAGAUGUGCCCAGAUGGGAUUAGCUAGUAGGUGGGGUAAUGGCGCACCUAGGCGACUAUCCCUAGCUGGGCUGAGAGGAUGACCAGCCACACUGGACCCGAGACACGGUCCAGACUCCUACGGGAGGCAGCAUUGGGGACUAUUUCACAAUUGGCGCAGGCCUGAUGCAGCCAGGCCGCGUGUGUGAAGAAGGUCUUCGGGUUGUAAAGCACGUUCAGCGGGGAGGCGUUACCCGCAGAAGAAGCACCGGCUAACUCCGUGCCAGCAGCCGCGGUAAUUC
rnacentral:rRNA from 1 species